CAGCCGCGUAAUUCCAGCUCCAAUAGCGUAUAUUAAAGUUGUUGCAGUUAAAAAGCUCGUAGUUGAAUUUCGGGAUCAAUAUGUUGGUCGUGCCUUUGGUACGUACUAGCUUAUUGAUUUCUCCCUUCUGACGAACCAUGAUGUCAUUAAUUUGGUGUCAUGGGGAAUCAGGACUGUUACUUUGAAAAAAUUAGAGUGUUUAAAGCAGGCUUACGCUUGAAUAUAUUAGCAUGGAAUAAUGAAAUAGGACGUUUUGAUUCUAUUUUGUUGGUUUCUAGGAUCGACGUAAUGAUUAAUAGGGAUAGUUGGGGGCAUUAGUAUUCAAUUGUCAGAGGUGAAAUUCUUGGAUUUAUUGAAGACUAACUACUGCGAAAGCAUUUGCAAAGGAUGUUUUCAUUAAUCAAGAACGAAAGUUAGGGGAUCGAAGACGAUCAGAUACCGUCGUAGUCUUAACCAUAAACUAUGCCGACUAGGGAUCGGAUGAUGUUAAUUUUUUAAUGACUCAUUCGGCGCCUUACG
rnacentral:misc_RNA from 1 species